AACCUCCGCAAUGCACGAAAGUGCGACGGGGGGACCCCGAGUGCCAUCCCAACGGGAUGGCUUUUCCGGAGUGUAAACAGCUCCGGGAAUAAGGGCUGGGCAAGUCCGGUGCCAGCAGCCGCGGUAAUACCGGCGGCCCAAGUGGUGGCCACUAUUAUUGGGCCUAAAGCGUCCGUAGCCGGCCCAGUAAGUCUCUGCUUAAAUCCUGCGGCUCAACCGCAGGGCUGGCAGAGAUACUGCUGGGCUUGGGACCGGGAGAGGCCGGGGGUACCCCAGGGGUAGCGGUGAAAUGCGUUGAUCCCUGGGG
rnacentral:rRNA from 1 species